AUGGAUCUGAGAACGCUGUCUGGGCUUGGUACCAAGAGCUGGUAUUUCACAGCAGCGACCGCCUCACAGACGAGCUGUGGGAAGCAGGAGGGAGACUCUCUCUUAGGGUGCCACUACUAUGGAGACACAGCUGGGCUGAACAAGAUUUGCUUCAAACGACAACAAGAGAGACAGAAAGUAUCUGGUUCAACCGCUGCCCGAGCAGGCAGGCACCAGAAGAGCUAGCAGCCAAUCCGGCCAUGCUCGAAGCCAGCUCUGCAGCUCAGCCAAUCAGUGACAUCAUUGCUUUCUUUAGCUUGCCCAUGGUGAUGUGAAGAUGAGAAGAAAUAGCAAGGCCCAACCAGUUCUUCAUCUGGAGACAGUUCAACGUUCUGCAAACCAGAUCUUCAGGAAUUUUACUGGGAUAAUUAUCCAAAUAAAUUGCAAGCAUUCUAUCCAAAUGGAGCUCUUUCUGAGAUGAAGAGAAUUCUCAAUGUCAAGAUUUGAACAAGAAGAGAAUGGAAUACACAAUAUGGACAUCCAUAAAAAUUCAUCAGAGAGCAUUUUACUACUGAGCUGCAAAGGGAAAAACUUAAAAUGGAUAUGAAAAGUGAAGAAAGUGAUCAUAGGAGAAAACCAUUUCAGAUGACAAGAGCACCUCAAAGGCAGCAGCCUCAAGGAGCAGCCAUGGCCCCAGACUUGUCGCACGGAUGCAGAAAACUUAAUGGAGGAGGCUGAGGUCAGAAUGGGAAGAGUUUUUAAAAAAUAAAAAGGGGAGCUAAUAUGUGAGGAACUGAUUGCUGUGCAUUAUUUUCCACUGAACAGACCUUCUUUUAACUUCUAAUCUCAAGCACAUAGCAGCUGUUGUUUUCAUAUUAAAGAUCAGUAAGUGUUUGUUGAAUGAAUGUAUAAAUUCUUCCCCAAUCUCUGUUCCAUGUAAUAAGAACUAAGUUAGCAUUCAAUUAUAAAGAGGACUUAGAAAGUCUGCAGACAUUUUUGAUCAAAAAUCCUUUUAACUGUCUUCUUAUGGUUCCCGGUAACACCUAAGCCCAAAAAACUCAGGUCAUUUCUUGCCUGUACUGUUGCAAUAGCCUCAUAAUAACUAGUCUUCUCCUUUAUCAACCACAGUCGUCUCCGCUACACAAAGAAGAGAGGGUGCUAAUCUAAAGUGUAAAUUAUUUUAAAUCAGCACCCUUCUUGUAAUUUCCCAGUGGUUUUUCCUGUCAUAAGAAUAACAUGCAAAAUUCCUUGCUUGCAAAGCCAGGUAUGACCUUGCCCCGUCUACCUUACUGGCAUCGUCUCUCAUGACUCUUCCCCUUUUUCACUCUCCAUCUUGCCUUUUCCCAACCAUGCCUGCUAGUGAGCCUUAGCCCUUGUGUUUUCUCUGCCAGGGAUGCAUGACUGGCUUCUUUACUUUAUUCUGAUCUCUCUGCUCAAAUGUCAUCUUUUUAGAGAUAGCUUUCCUAAACAUCUUUAAAAGUACCCCAUGAACUGUGAAACACCUUUCCUGCUUUUUCUUCAUAGUACUUAUCACUUCCUGAUAUUAUGUUAGACAACAAGCAAAUAAGUAUAUGCUGUUCCCACUAAAAUAUAAGCUCCAUUUGAACAGGAGCCUUGAUUAUUCCUGAGUAUACCCCUAGUGCCCAGAACCUAGUAGGGCUUUAAUAAAUAUUAGAUUCAUUUGUUGAAUGAAAAAAUGAAUGAAUAAUUGAAUAAAGAUAUCCAGGUAGAGUGUCCGGGCAGCCCAACCUAUGUGAAGCCAGUACAAGAAUGUUUCUGUGACAUAGUGAGCGCAAUUAUUCCUCUAAAUGAUGAACUUGCAUGAGUACACAAGGAUAAAAUUAAGCACGUAGUUUAGAUUUCUGCAAGUCUCUUCCUCAGAUUGAGGAAAAACAAAGAAAUUGAGCUUAUUCUCACCUCAUUCUUACAUGAACUAAAUCCAGAAUAAAGCAUCAUUUAAAUACCAAGCACAUCCCUACCUCAGCCACUCAUGGAAUACUUUAUCUGUAAAGGGACAGAUAGAUAGUAAAUAUUUUUGGCUUUGGGGACCGUACAGUCUGUGUCGCCACUACUCAGCACUUCUGUUGAGGUGUGGAAUCAGCCCUAGACAACACAUAAACAAAUGGGUGUGGCUGUGUUCCAAUAAAAUGUUAUUUAUAAAACUAGGAAAUCAGCAGAUUUAGUCCACAGGCUGUAGUUUGCUGACCCUUGAAUUAGAGAGUCUUCCCCAAAUCCUCUUCCCAAGUUAUUGAAAGAAUGCCCAUAGGACCAUAGCUCCCUCACCUGGUUCUUUCAAGAAAUGAGACAAAUUCAGGGAUGGUUGGAGGGUGGAACGCCUACCUGUGACAUGACUAUUGAGCCUGAUUUCUUUCCUUUUAUCUCUUUAAAGUGAGUCAGGUCUUAACUUUAAACUGUCUCUAAAGUGGCAAUAACUGGGCCAUGUCAAAUACUCCCAAUGACAAAAUUUCUUCUUGGAGAAUGAAUGAGGGUUGCAUACAGUGGUGUGUUGGUAAAUGUUUAGCAACUGGCUCUCUUACUGAUUUCUGUAGUGUAAAUUCUCCCAUCCUGGCCAUCUGAAACUACCAAUAUGAUGUCACUUGAUGUAGAGUUGGGAAAAGACAGUCUCUUGAAUAAGUAUGAGCUGGUUCCAGCCCACUGCUGAACACAUAUUUAAAAGCUACAAUAGCUCUGCUCACUGCCAUUGCAGAGUCUGGAGGAAAGAGUAGCAGGCUUGAUAGGAGCAAUUGGCUGAAUAAUCUUUUGCAAUGCCAAUAAAUAAUGAAAAAGUAUAUAAAUAUAACGCUGUAUAGAAAGCUCUCAAGUUCAGUGUUUGGUUAAAAUACAUACUCAGUAAAUGGUAGCUAUUAUUGUCUUAGUUUAAGUUAUUGCAAGCAUUAAAAUUAAAUGUUUAGCUACAGACUCAAUCCAGUUUUAAUGUCAUUGUGUUAAUAAGGCCUCUUAACAUUGAAGCAACAAAGAUAAAGGAAUUUUUUUGUAGCUAUUCACGAUUCUGCCCAGCUCAAGGUAAAGAUAGCAACAAAAUACUCCAACCAGAAUAAAAGAAGUCUCCACUUGACUGCAGCUCUUCGCAACACUUCACAAGGGUCAAGCUGUGUUAGUUUCCUUCAGUGUUAAACAGAAUGCAUCUUAAGAGAAUAGUUCAAUUAUUGAUUGAAUAGUAGGUUCAAGUUGACUAUAAUCCCAACUAAUACACUCUAAGACCAGGGAUGGGCCGACAGAAGGGUAAAGUUUUCCACUCAAGUCUCGAGGCAAACACUCAGAUAGAAGUAGUAAUAUGGAUGCCUUCUAUUAUUUGGUCACAUACAAUACUGUUCCAGCCCAGUUGUGCAAAACUGGUGAAAUAAAAGGCAAAAAUAUUGACAACAGUUUGGGUAACUGGAUUCCAAAAUGGGCAUCCAUCUAAGAGAAAUUAAUGAAAAAAAAGCAUAUGGACCUUGAAAUACAUUAAUACACAGUUUAGGUUUAAACACUCAGUUUUUAUUAGAAAAGACUAACUUAUCCUGUUUUGAACACUACAAAAGUGCUUUCUGAACCAUUUACUCUCAAACCUCCUCCACCCAUUCCCCUCCAUCUAUAACGCUUUCUGCACAUCUGUAAAAGGUAUGACUUAGUGUUUGGUCUGUGAAAUAAGGUUAAAAAGGAAGCAUUUCUUUUUACAUUCUAGCUAAUGUUGAUAUUUUUCUCAUGCUUCUAUUAGCACAUAAUUCAGAUACAUUAGUUUUGAAGUUUUGAAUCUUCUCUGCUUCUUGAGGGCUCUCUGUUCUAGAUCAACAUGAUCUGUGGAACACCAGCCAAGUCCUGGGCAGAACCCUCCCCGUUGUCCAAAUAUUACUGAAUCAGUUGAGUUUUCUCUGUUGUCAAUGAAUUAUUCCACAUGUUUCUUUGGCUACAUUUUUUUUGGCUUUCUGUUCACAGUAAAUAUAGCCUUUGUUUUUAAAAACUUCUAUUAUGAAAAUUCCAAAUAUAUGCAAAUUAGAGAGAAUAGCAUAAUGAACCUCUAUGUGCUUAUCACACAUAUAGGUUCAACUAAUUAAAUUAUAUCAAUUUAUGGCCAAUCUGGUUUCAUUUAUAACAUCAUUCGCUCAUUCCUAACUCCCUGGAUUAUUUGAUUGACAUGUUUCUAAAGUUCCUUUUAAUCUGUAGGUUCCCCCUCUCAUUUAAUCUUUUGCAACUUAUUCAUUGAUGAAACUGGGUUAUUUGUCCUUUAUUGUUUCUCUCAUUCUGAAAUAUGCUGUAAUGUCAUUAACCAUAUUCUUCUUUCCUGUAUUUUCUGUAAGCUUUGAGCUAGGCAGAAAUAUUUUAAUCAGAUUCCUUUUUUUUUCUUUUAGCAAGAUUUCUUCAUAAAUAAUAUUGUAUGUGUUCAUGAAAAUAGAAAUAAAAAUAGAAAUAAAGAAGAAAUAACAGAAAA
rnacentral:lncRNA from 1 species